AUGGCGACGCGGGGCCAUGUGCAGGACCCUAACGACAGGCGCCUCCGGCCCAUUUACGAUUAUCUUGAUAAUGGUAAUAAUAAAAUGGCAAUUCAGCAAGCAGAUAAAUUAUUGAAGAAGCAUAAGGAUCUUCAUUGUGCUAAGGUUUUAAAGGCAAUUGGUUUACAGAGAACUGGAAAGCAAGAAGAAGCCUUUACUUUAGCACAGGAGGUGGCGGCCCUGGAACCCACAGAUGACAAUUCACUGCAGGCGCUCACUAUUCUCUACCGGGAGAUGCAUCGGCCGGAAUUAGUUACGAAACUUUAUGAAGCGGCUGUGAAGAAAGUUCCCAACAGUGAGGAGUAUCACUCUCACCUCUUCAUGGCCUAUGCCAGAGUGGGUGAAUACAAGAAAAUGCAACAGUCAAUAUCAGCACAGGAUGAAAACCUCUCAAAAACAAUGUUUCUGCCUCUUGCUGAGAGAAUGGUCGAAAAAAUGGUGAAAGAGGACAAGAUAGAAGCUGAGGCCGAAGUUGAACUUUAUUAUAUGAUCCUGGAACGAUUGGGAAAGUACCAGGAGGCCUUGGAUGUCAUUAGAGGGAAAUUAGGAGAAAAGCUGACAAGUGAGAUUCAGAGUCGGGAAAAUAAAUGCAUGGCUAUGUACAAGAAGCUAAGCAGGUGGCCGGAAUGCAAUGCCCUUUCUCGGCGCCUCUUACUGAAAAACUCAGAUGACUGGCAGUUCUAUCUGACUUAUUUCGAUUCUGUCUUUCGACUGAUUGAAGAGGCCUGGANNNNNNNNNNNNNNNACAGUAAGUCAUCUUCUUUCCUGAAUUAUGACGGCACCUUUUAAAAUGUAGCAAAAUAUUUCAUUGUGAGCCAAUUAAAUUCUCUUUUUCUGUCUUAAUAAUAUAUUCAUUUCAAAGUAAGAUUUUUCUCUUUUUAAAAUUAUAAAAUACAUGCACAUUGUAAAAAUUUUCUUAGUGAUGAAAUAUGUGGUAUGGUCAUCCCCCCAGAUUUAUUUCUUUGCAC
rnacentral:lncRNA from 1 species